rnacentral:tRNA from 1 species
GACUGUUUAGCUUAAGUAAAGCAAAUGUUUUGAAAGCAUUAGAUAAGAGCCAAUAUUCUUAAUAGUCG